CCAGCCGUAAACUAUGCUCGCUAGGUGUCAGGCAUGGCGCGACCGUGUCUGGUGCCGCAGGGAAGCCGUGAAGCGAGCCACCUGGGAAGUACGGCCGCAAGGCUGAACUAAGGAUUGGCGGGGGAGCACAACAACGGGUGGAGCCUGCGGUUUAAUUGGACUCAACGCCGGACAACUCACCGGGAACGACAGCAAUAUGUAGGCCAGGCUGAAGACCUUGCCUGAAUCGCUGAGAGGUGGUGCAUGGCGUAGACGUCU
rnacentral:rRNA from 1 species